GUGGGUAUAGUUCAAUUGGCAGAGCACUGGAUUGUGGUUCCAGGCGUUGUGGGUUCGAGUCCCAUCACCCACCCCA
rnacentral:tRNA from 1 species